GCUACGCGCUACCAUGCAAGUCGAGCGGAUGAAGGAGCUUGCUCCUGGAUUCAGCGGCGGACGGGUGAGUAAUGCCUAGGAAUCUGCCUGGUAGUGGGGGACAACGUUUCGAAAGGAACGCUAAUACCGCAUACGUCCUACGGGAGAAAGCAGGGGACCUUCGGGCCUUGCGCUAUCAGAUGAGCCUAGGUCGGAUUAGCUAGUUGGUGAGGUAAUGGCUCACCAAGGCGACGAUCCGUAACUGGUCUGAGAGGAUGAUCAGUCACACUGGAACUGAGACACGGUCCAGACUCCUACGGGAGGCAGCAGUGGGGAAUAUUGGACAAUGGGCGAAAGCCUGAUCCAGCCAUGCCGCGUGUGUGAAGAAGGUCUUCGGAUUGUAAAGCACUUUAAGUUGGGAGGAAGGGUUGUAGAUUAAUACUCUGCAAUUUUGACGUUACCGACAGAAUAAGCACCGGCUAACUCUGUGCCAGCAGCCGCGGUAAUACAGAGGGUGCAAGCGUUAAUCGGAAUUACUGGGCGUAAAGCGCGCGUAGGUGGUUUGUUAAGUUGGAUGUGAAAUCCCCGGGCUCAACCUGGGAACUGCAUCCAAAACUGGCAAGCUAGAGUAUGGUAGAGGGUGGUGGAAUUUCCUGUGUAGCGGUGAAAUGCGUAGAUAUAGGAAGGAACACCAGUGGCGAAGGCGACCACCUGGACUGAUACUGACACUGAGGUGCGAAAGCGUGGGGAGCAAACAGGAUUAGAUACCCUGGUAGUCCACGCCGUAAACGAUGUCAACUAGCCGUUGGGAGCCUUGAGCUCUUAGUGGCGCAGCUAACGCAUUAAGUUGACCGCCUGGGGAGUACGGCCGCAAGGUUAAAACUCAAAUGAAUUGACGGGGGCCCGCACAAGCGGUGGAACAUGUGGGUUAAUUCGAAGCAACGCGAAGAACCUUACCAGGCCUUGACUUCCAAUGAACUUUCCAGAGAUGGAUUGGUGCCUUCGGGAACAUUGAAACAGGGGG
rnacentral:rRNA from 1 species